UCUGAUUAGGUAGUUGGUGAGGUAACGGCUCACCAAGCCGACGAUCAGUAGCCGACCUGAGAGGGUGAUCGGCCACAUUGGAACUGAGACACGGUCCAGACUCCUACGGGAGGCAGCAGUGGGGAAUAUUGCACAAUGGGGGAAACCCUGAUGCAGCAACGCCGCGUGAAGGAAGAAGUAUUUCGGUAUGUAAACUUCUAUCAGCAGGGAAGAAGAAAGUGACGGUACCUGACUAAGAAGAACCGGCUAAAUAC
rnacentral:rRNA from 1 species